AUGAGGUCGAGCAGGAGAGCAAGGAAACCAACGAAUCCACCUUGUAGCAGACACAUCCAGAGAAACAAUCGUCAAGCCCAGAGAGAAAACAGAUUACACUGCAAAAAAAAAAAAACAGAAAACAUCGUGAAAGUAAACUGUCAAGGCAAGAUGUCAUAUCCAUACAAUAUCACUUUCACAUCAUAAUACCUGAUGAAUAAACAAAG